UACGUAGGGCGCAAGCGUUAUCCGGAAUUAUUGGGCGUAAAAGAGCUCGUAGGCGGUUUGUCGCGUCUGCCGUGAAAGUCCGGGGCUCAACUCCCGGAUCUGCGGUGGGUACGGGCAGACUAGAGUGAUGUAGGGGAGACUGGAAUUCCUGGUGUAGCGGUGAAAUGCGCAGAUAUCAGGAGGAACACCGAUGGCGAAGGCAGGUCUCUGGGCAUUAACUGACGCUGAGGAGCGAAAAGCAUGGGGAGCGAACAGG
rnacentral:rRNA from 1 species